AUGGCCGUAUCACACUAAAACACCGGUUCUUGUAUCAUCACUGAAGAUAAUCAAUGUCAUGCCUGGUUAGUACCAAGAUGGGUGGCCGCUUGGGAAUAUCAGGUACUGUAA